rnacentral:misc_RNA from 1 species
GGCAACAAGAGAUCAAACUUCCAAUAAACUUGGAAGGAAUUGUGACAUCACAAAGUUCCAGGCUAACUAACUUUUCAAAUCCUUUAAAAGCAGGUGGAAACAUAAUCAAACAAUUUUGGAGACUCAAAUGGCUUAUUUGCGAACAUGUGAAAAAUGAAGAAGGCAAUUUGUAUAGGUUACCCCUUGGAAAUUGAAGAACAAGGUGUUGAAUGCCAUUUCUAGAGAGGAAAUACAUCAAGUUGUCAAUCUUUGAGCAGUUCCCCAGAGUGGCAA